GAGUGUGUGAGAGAUCUGGUAGUCAACCUUUGCCCCUCCACCCUCAGGAGUCUGCAGGAUGUCUCGCAGACAGAAAAAAUCUUGAGGUGCAUCCACAGAGAAGUGGAGGAAGUGUGCACGGAACCAGGGCAGUUCCUCCUGAGAUCCGUGCUUGGUCUGCUCAGCGAGUGCUGCCCUGAGGAAACAGUUCAGACCCUCUUGAGGAUCAGUCCCUCCUGUGACAAGUAUGAGCCCCAAGAGCCCUGGGGACUUGCUCCAUAGCCCAGGCACAGCACAGUGGCCAAGGCAGCCCUGCUAACAGAGUGUUCUGGCUUGCAGCGCUGCACUGGCCAUGUGGGAGAUGCUGCUGUCCCUGCCCAGCACUUCAGAGACAGUUCUUGACUGGCUGCUCAGUGUGAUCCAGGGCUGGAGACCAAUCUGUGCUAUCCCAUCUGCAAGCCAGGUCCUGUACAGGCUCAGCCAGCGGCCCCGCGGCCAGAGGAUCCUGGAAGCGCUCUUCCCCAGGCUCCUCAUGAGCUUG